GAAUCCUAGCAAAGCCAAGAGAAGAAUAAUGGGAUAAGGAAAGAAGAUGGAAGCGUAAAUGGCAACUGGCCUGUAUAUCCCAGGCAGCUGCCUAGUGCCAUCUUCCUUCUUUCCUGAGCAUUCAAGAAAUGAAGAGAAACUGUCCAGUGAUAAUCCAUAUUACCAAAAGAGCUCAGGAUUCCCCUCUGUUAAAAAAGCGAAUUAUUCAUUAUGUGUUGACCAACAGUGACUUAAAAGGGAGGCAGGAGGAAUGAUAUGGGGAAAUAAAUUUGGUGAGA
rnacentral:lncRNA from 1 species